rnacentral:rRNA from 1 species
CUACGGGGUGCUCCAGUGAGGAAUAUUGCACAAUGGGGGGAACCCUGAUGCAGCAACGCCGCGUGGAGGAUGACGCAUUUCGGUGUGUAAACUCCUUUUAUAUGUCAAGAAAAUGACGGUAGCAUAUGAAUAAGCACCGGCUAACUCCGUGCCAGCAGCCGCGGUAAUAGGGAGGGUGCAAGCGUUACUCGGAAUCACUGGGCGUAAAGGACGCGUAGGCGGGCUUGUAAGUCAGGUGUGAAAUCCUACAGCUUAACUGUAGAACUGCACUUGAAACUACGAGCCUAGAGUAUGGGAGGGGGAGAUGGAAUUAGUGGUGUAGGGGUAAAUCCGUAGAUAUCACUAGGAAUACCUAAAGCGAAGGCGAUCUCCUGGAACAUAACUGACGCUAAGGCGUGAAAGCGUGGGGAGCAAACAGGAUUAGAUACCCUCGUAGUC